GAUGAACGCUGGCGGCGUGCCUAAUACAUGCAAGUCGAGCGAACAGAUGAGGAGCUUGCUCCGCUGACGUUAGCGGCGGACGGGUGAGUAACACGUGGAUAACCUACCUAUAAGACUGGGAUAACUUCGGGAAACCGGAGCUAAUACCGGAUAAUAUAUUGAACCGCAUGGUUCAAUAGUGAAAGACGGUUUUGCUGGCACUUAUAGAUGGAUCCGCGCCGCAUCAGCUAGUUGGUAAGGUAACGGCUUACCAAGGCAACGAUGCGUAGCCGACCUGAGAGGGUGACCGGCCACACUGGGACUGAGGGAGGGACCAGACUGGUACGGGACGCAGAAGGGGGGAAUCUUGCAGGAGGAGCGGAAGCCGGAUGCAGCAACGCCGCGUGCGGUAAAACGGUCUUUGGGGGGAAAACCAAUUUCGCAGGUAACGAAGCGGGUUUGACGGUAAUUUAUAAAGAAGCCCCGGCUAACUACGUG
rnacentral:rRNA from 1 species